GGCUCGGUAGCUCAGUUGGUUAGAGCGCUGGCCUGUCACGCCAGAGGUCGAGGGUUCGAGCCCCUUCCGAGUCGCCA
rnacentral:tRNA from 1 species